rnacentral:snRNA from 1 species
GUUCAUUCCCGAACAUACACUAAAAUUGGAGCAACACAGAGAAGAUUAGCAUGGCCCCUGCGCAAGGAUGACACGCCUAUUCGUGAAGCGUUCCAAAUUUUU